ACUGAGAAAAGUCAAGCGUGCAGCUGCCACGAUGCCACUUGCCACCAGUUUGGCCAUAUUUCAGAGCUGCAACAUCACUGGAGUGCCCAAAAGCACAAGGUGUGCAAUACUCAGAGACAUGGCCAAGGUAAGAAAGGCUGAAAGACGACCUCCACUGAACAAGACACACAAGCUGAAACGUCAAGACUGGGCCAAGAAAUAUCUCAAGACUGAUUUUUCUAAGGUUUUAUGGACUGAUGAAAUGAGAAUGAGUCUUGAUGGGCCAGAUGGAU